UGGGUUGUGGCUCAGAAGUAGAGCACUUGCCUCACACAUGUGAGGCCCUGGGUUCAAUCCUCAGCACCACAU
rfam:Ictidomys tridecemlineatus contig029776, whole genome shotgun sequence.